rnacentral:rRNA from 1 species
GAUCAUGGCUCAGGAUGAACGCUGGCGGCGUGCUUAACACAUGCAAGUCGAACGAGUUAUGAUGAAACCUAGUGAUUCAUAAAUGAGUGGCGGACGGGUGAGUAACGCGUGGGUAACCUGCCUUACACUGGGGGAUAACACUUAGAAAUAGGUGCUAAUACCGCAUAAGCGCACAGCUUCGCAUGAAGUAGUGUGAAAAGCUCCGGUGGUGUAAGAUGGACCCGCGUCUGAUUAGCUAGUUGGCGAGGUAACGGCUCACCAAGGCAACGAUCAGUAGCCGGCCUGAGAGGGUGAACGGCCACAUUGGGACUGAGACACGGCCAAACUCCUACGGGAGGCAGCAGUGGGGAAUAUUGGACAAUGGGGGAAACCCUGAAUCCAGCGACGCCGCGUGAGUGAAGAAGUAUUUCGGUAUGUAAAGCUCUAUCAGCAGGGAAGAAAAUGACGGUACCUGACUAAGAAGCCCCGGCUAACUACGUGCCAGCAGCCGC